AGUAUGUGGUUUAAUUCGAAGCAACGCGAAGAACCUUACCAGGUCUUGACAUACCGGGCAAAGCCCUAGAGAUACGGGAAAUAGUUAUGCCGGAUACAGGUGGUGCAUGGUUGUCGUCAGCUCGUGUCGUGAGAUGUUGGGUUAAGUCCCGCAACGAGCGCAACCCCUACGUUUAGUUGCUAACGCGUGAAGGCGAGCACUCUAGACGAACUGCCGUUAGACAAACGGAGGAAGGUGGGGAUGACGUCAAAUCAUCAUGCCCCUUAUGUUCUGGGCUACACACGUGCUACAAUGGCCGGUACAGACGGACGCAAAGGCCGCGAGGUGGAGCAAAUCCUAAAAAGCCGGUCUCAGUUCGGAUUGCAGGCUGCAAUUCGCCUGCAUGAAGUCGGAAUCGCUAGUAAUCGCAGGUCAGCACGCCGCGGUGAAUACGUUCCCGGGCCUU
rnacentral:rRNA from 1 species